rnacentral:rRNA from 1 species
UUGCUCUCCAAUACCGCCCUGAACGCGCCCCAUCUCGUCUGAUCUCAGAAGCUAAGCAGGGUCGGGCCUGGCUAGUCCUGGGCUGGUAGGCACU